rnacentral:lncRNA from 1 species
UUCACAGAAGCACAGAGCACUGGCUGUUUAGAGCAUCAGUCCUGCAAGAGGAGAGCAGUGGUCCACUCUGAGCACCUUGGCUUUCUGGGCUGUCUCAUGUUCCAUGCCUGGUGCUGUGCUAAGAACCUCACUACCAUCAGCUUUCCCGGGCAGCAGAGUAGUUGGAACAAUAUGGAAACUGCAGAAGGCCUGGAAAGAAGAAGGCUUCAGAGGCUGCAUAGGAUAGCCGUGGCCAGCAAGCUUCACACAGUGGUGUGUCAUCAUGUUUCUCUGAUUGGACUCCAUGGUGCUGCUGCCUCCCAGAGCUUCUGCAGCAGGGAGAGUUCAGCCUGCUGGGGACAGCAGAGAAACACCAGGAUGCAGACCCAGCUGCUGUCCGACUCUGAGCAAAUCUAAAGGACCUGCCUCAGUCUACCUGCCCAGCCAUUGGUCGUUGACUCUUUAUUGAUCAAUCAAAAACCAAUUGGGAACAAGGACCUUCAGCGUUUGGACUCACAGAUCCUUGAUUUUGGAGGCUGCUGCGCGGCCCUGGUCAGCUUCCGCUACCAUGCUGCUUCUGGGUUGGUUUGGACUAGUUUCUCCGUGUGUUUGUGAUUUGUUUUUUAGCAGGAUAUCAUAUUUCUUGGCACAUUCUCUGUUUGUUUGUUUGUUUGUUUGUUUUCCAGGAAGUCACAUUUGAGCAUUACCAGUGACGGAUCACAUGCUCCUGGCAUCUCUGCCAAAGCUCAUGGUCCAGUGGCUGCAUCCAUGCAAAGUAUCCUCACCUCAGGCUGGCAUGUGCUUCCACAUGCUCCCUUCCCCUUCCCAUGAUUCUGUGCUUAAGGUAUGCUAUCAUGCCAUCAUGCCCAGCUUAUACAGUUCUGGGGAUCACACCUGGGGCUAGGGUCCUCUAUGGAGUCAUUGCCCCAGAGUACAGCAAAGUGUACAGAAAACAUAUGGCCCUGGGUCUCCAACUACCAACCAGGUCAUCUCUUGGACUGUCACCUCCUUCCCUGACAGGGGCAGAGGCCCAAGUAGCCUUUGAAGCCGGAAGUAUGGGCUUCAGCCCUUGCUCUGGUGUCCUCUAGUCAGGCUUUAGGUAAAGGAGGCAGGUAAGAGCUACCAGCCUGGAGUGAACCCCUAUCCUGUGACCUUAGCAUAUUCUUUAGUGUUUUUCAGUGUGUAGUCCACCAUAAUCUACAGUGGCUCUCAGUUCCCUGCUAGCUGACAGUGGCCACUCCUGUGUAGGCUUGCGUGAGUAGGUAUGGGUGUGGGGUUGUCUUGGCUCCCUAGUCCCAUACCUAUACUUUCUCUACACUCGGGCUAAGAAGAAAUUGCAGCAGGGAGCAAGAGACCCACCCAGUAUACUGACUCUAACCUCAGGGGACCAAGGGAGCCCUGGCAAAGACCCUGACAUGGAACUCCUUCCUUCCCACAGGCACUGAGUGGAAACUCUGCCUACCUGGAAGCCACAUUCUAGUCAACCCCACAGACCCCAGCAACUGCUGCAUCCUACCUCCCACAGGCUGUCUGUUCAGUGGAAGGGUGGAGCCAAGAGAAAUGGGUUGAUUCAGAGUGCUGAGUUGAGAAAUCUAAGGUCACAAUGAGUAAUGAAGACCAUUAAGUCUAUCCAGAGAGCAGCUAGGCCAAGAAAAUGCGAUUGGUGAUUGAUUGGUGAUGUCUGCUGAGGACGAAGCUGUGUAGAGUGGUCUAGGGUCCUACUAUGUAGCCCUAGCUGUCUUGGAACUUGCUACGUAGACCAGUCUGUUUUCAAGCUCAGAGAUUCUCUUGCCUCUGCCUCUAGAGUGCUGGAAUUAAAGGUGUGCCACUA